rnacentral:rRNA from 1 species
AAUCAACGCUGGCGGCGCGCUUAACACAUGCAAGUCGAACGGGAAAGUGGAGCAAUCCAUGAGUACAGUGGCGUACGGGUGAGUAACACGUGGGUAAUCUACCUCUUAGUGGGGAAUAACCYUGGGAAACCGGGGCUAAUACCGCAUAAGCCUGAGAAGGGAAAGCAGCAAUGCGCUGAGAGAGGAGCCCGCGGCCGAUUAGCUAGUUGGUAGGGUAAAGGCCUACCAAGGCAGAGAUCGGUAGCCGGCCUGAGAGGGCACACGGCCACACUGGCACUGAAACACGGGCCAGACUCCUACGGGAGGCAGCAGUGGGGAAUCUUGCACAAUGGGGGCAACCCUGAUGCAGCGACGCCGCGUGAAAGAUGAAGCCAUUCGGGGUGUAAAGCUCUUUCGUCAGGCAAGGGGAUG